AAAAAGGAUUCAAGUCAUUGUGGUUUACGUGAUUUAAACAUCAAGUUUCGGUGAUGGUUUGUUUAAAAAGUAUGUCUUUAGUAUGGUUUCGUCUGUUUUAUUUUGUUAUUUAUAAUAUAUUUUCAUGAACUGGUUUUGAGAAUAUUAUUAUUUUAAUGUUUGGAGUUUUUAUUCAAAUUUAUUUCUAUUAUUAAAAUGUUUAAUUUGGUAUUAUAACUCAGUGAUUAUAAAUUUAAACAAAGUUUAAAUUGGCUGUAAAUUUUACAAUUGUUUUAUACAAACCCUAAAUAAAAGAUAAAAUGUAUUUAAAUCUUAACUAUGUUUAGUUAACUUUUACUAAGCUUACUUAUCAUUCUAUAUAUGAUUUUCAGUAAUGACGACAUCAAUUGUGAAUUAAAUCAUUUUAAAUUUGUUAGACAAAAAUAAUUAAUAAAUACAAACCGAUUUAAAUUUCUACCAAUUUAAUAGUUCAAUUUUAAUUUAUACAUAUAUAUAUAUAAGUGUAAAAUUUUUAGCUUAACAAAAAAUUAUACGAAUCCGCGACUUGAUGUUUGGUACUACCUAAGUUGUAAGGUGUGUGCAAAGAAGGUGUUGACAGUGCCUAAUGACAUUGAAGACGGAGACGAGUUCAAUGUUAGUGGUCAUAAUUACUAUUGUGUCAAGUGCAAAGACAAAAAUCCACAACUAUUGCCAAGGUAUAUAGUUGAAUAAAAUAUAUCAUAUAUGAAUGAAAAAGCUCAUUAUAUUUUAAAAAUUAAUAUGAACAUUUUUUUUAUUUACUUAGGUACAAGUUGCAUCUAGUUGUACUUGACAGUACAAAUGACACCAAGUUCUUGCUGUUUGAUAAUCUUGCCAUGCAACUGCUACACAAACCAUGUCUUGAGCUGACUGGUCCGGUUACUAAUGAGGUAUUAUUGUUAUCUAUAAUUUAUAGAAAACAAUUUUUUUUAUCAAUUGAAAGAUAUAUUGAAACUUAUUAUGAUUUACGUGAUUGUAUAAAAGAUACAGGAUCCUGACAUGUUGCCACCGAUUCUUCAAGAUUUGGUUGGGAAAACUCUUCUUUUCAAGAUUGGAAUUGAAAAGGAAGAAUUAUUUAUAUAAGCAUCCCACUUACAAAGUUCUCAAGAUCAUGUCAAACAUUGGGAUGAUUAACGAGUUCGACGCCAUUGGAUCACCAACGGUAUGUGUUUCAAUGGAUUCAGUUGUUCUAAAAUGGUUUAUAAUAUUCAUUUUUGUUAUGAUAUACAAUUCUAUUUUCUAUAUCCUAGGAAAGUCAGAACACUUUUGGAGGGACAUAUUCCGCUUUGUCUGAUGCACCUGAGGGGUCCCUGAUGUUGCAUGGCGGAUCGUCUCAGUCGGAUAAAACCGGUGAUCUGACACCGGCUAAGCGGAUGCGAUCACCAAUCAUUAACUUGGAGGAUGCUUUUGAUCAGAAUUCUGUUACAAGGUCUGCGGGUACCAUCAAAAUCAAGCAGGAGAAGAAUGAAAAAAGUGGCUGAAAAGUUGGUGGAUCGAGUUGAUGAGUAGAGGCUUCGCUCUGAAUUUUAUUAUUAUUGCUUUCAAGUUUGGCAUUAUUUCUUGAAUUUCUUACUUAUUAGUUUCUGGAUUUUUCUCUUUGAUUCAUGUUUUUGCAUUUUGAAUUUUCCUUUGGUAAUAUGAAGCCUCUACAUUUUUAUACCUUUUAUCCCUUUAUUAUUUAAAUUCUACACAUUUAUUCCUAUAACCAAUUUGAAAGACAAAUCCAAUAUUACAACUGUUUCAAUAGAUACAUUUUCAUUCACGAAUAAAUAUAAAAUUGUUUAUAUGGAAAAGAUCAAAUCACUAACUUGAAUAUGUGUAAAAGUAGUAGAGUACAUACGUGGUCAUGAAAAAGCCCUAAUUAAUAAUUCAACUAAAAGAUAAUAAAACAGUUCUCUUGCUAUCUAAACGAUGGCUAUCUAAUAAUCAAUACUGUUUUCCUCAUAUUAAUGAAACUAUAUGUGAAAUAUAAUUAGAGAUCUGCGCCUUCAUAUAUAUUUAUAAGACAUUUGAGAGUGACUGAAUAGUAUUCUCCAUUUACUCAAGAAUAUAUUUUAUUGUAUCUAAAUUAUAACUAUUAAUUAUAAGCAUCCUUUCCAUUUAUUAUACUAUAAAAUAAAACACAAUGCAUAGUAAGCAUUGUAUUGACUAAGGUGCGGAGUUUCCUGAGCAUAUCUACUAAUUGAUUGGACUUUCCAUUGCAGACCCACGCCAAUUAGUUAAAAAUCCAUAAAAAAAUAUUAUUGAGUACGAUGCACCAUAUACAAGCUCUAUUGUUACCCUUGCCUAAUACUGAAAGUACAGGAGAACCUUUGAGCUCUGGAAGAACCGAAAGCAAUUCACUCGAUAUGAACAAAACUACUAAGAAGAAAAGGGGGGGAAACACAGAUGUGGCUACGCAUGCGAAGAGAAGAAAGCAAGAGACAAACAUAAGUGGAGACCGUCUUCCUGAUGCUCUACAUGACAUAACAAAUUCGAGUAACAACAUCACAAAAGAUGCAAGAACAGAAAGGCGUCUCAAAUUGAUUCAAAAACGUAAAAAUGCGGAAUUUGGAAGCCCAGAGGUUACUCAAUCAGAGAUUGUGAACGUCCAAUCUGUAGGAUCAACACUACUAGGUUCAGCCAGAUCAAUUGACGGAGAACAAACUGUUUCUGCCAAAAACAAGAGCAGACGAUUGGAGAAGGCUGAGUUGGAAAGGAUGCUUUGCGCGGGUCAAAAAUUCCAAUUGCUAACUUGCACCGCUGGUAACUCUAACAAGAUUUCAAACCCAGCAAAUAACAUUUCUCAAGCAACCAACGGUGACUUUAAACUUAAUCAGAGAUGAAAGAUAUAAAUUACCAAAUUUAAUGUCUGUUACCAUUUAAUAUAAUUUCAAAAUCAAAAAGUCUUGUUGCAAAAUUUAAGGGAUUGAAAAAAUUUAAUAUGAAAUUCCUUUUCGAAUGUAUUUUACAAUCACGCAAGAUAUUCAAUAGAUUUUUUAUAGACAACAUUUUGAUUUUACAAUAUAAAAAUGUUUAUAUUGAUGCUAUUAAAAUAAAUUCCCAAAAUAAAUUUCAUGUAUCCCAUAAUAAUCCAAAAAUAUUAAUCAAAAUAAAUGUCACAUAAGGAAGUUUUAUAGAAGAACGUAAUUCUGAAUCGUUUAUAUUUUUUCAGUCCCAAAAAAGGUCAUGUUUUAUUUAUGAAUCGUAAAGAACAUGAAUCUUAUAAAACAUGAAUCGUAUAUAUAUAGUCAAAAUCCCAACAAUUUUUAUUAAAAAAAUUAUGUAUGAUAGCUUCUAUGAAAUAAUACAUCAUACACAUCGAAGAAUCCACUAAUAUUAUACUAAAAAUUUGUAAAAUAAUGAAGCAUACACAUCGCUCAAUCCACUAAUAUUAUGCUAAAAAUAUAAAUAACUAUAUUUUGCCAUUCAUUUUGUGGCUAUAUAUGUUUUGUUCGAUAAUUAUUAAAAUCCAUUGAAGUGAGUAACUAUACCUUGAAAUGUUUCAUGUUAUAUAUGCAAGGCUUCUUCUCACUGAUCAAAGAGAGAUAAUGUUGUAGGCAUAACCAUCGGUUACGUCUCGCUUUGACCAAUAGAAGAACGAAAUUUAGCUUACUUAUGUUUUCACGCAAUGGUUAUCUCGGGUAUUGUCUACGUUUUUAGUAAUGCAAUCACAACUCAUAUAGUAUAGUAAUAUAAUCUCUUCAUAUUAUUAAAUUUAAUGAGAAAUGGUAUUAUAUGUAAUUAGUCUAGACAAUAGAGGGCGAGAAUGAUUCUCAUAAUGACACAUAGGAAAUGACAUUUUUGUUAAUCACACAUGGUGAUAAAGUUAAUUGUUUAAAAUGCUCAUUAAAUAAUAAAAAAGGAUGUGUCUGAGCAAGUGGGUCGGUAAACAUAAUAAUUAACAAAGAAAAAAUCAAGAAAAAUGAAUAGAGAUUCAUCUAAAUAAAUGAAGAAAUUCUGAGUUCUUCUUCUGGUCCUAGCAAUAAGGCGUUGAGAUCUGCAUGGUGAAUAUAUAUAUAAAGAGUGAUAAAACAUCGAGAUCUAUCAUAUAGAUUCAAAUUUAUUAUAUGUAGAUUAAUUGUUUUGCUUUGUUUUAUUGGUUUUGUGUGCACUUAAAUCAAUAAUGGUUUAACUCUAGAUAUUAGGAACGUGUCUAGUUAAUUGAAUAGCCAUGUGAUGUGUCUGAGCAAGUGGGUCGGUAAACAUAAUAAUUAACAAAGAAAACAAUCAAGAAAAAUGAACAGAAAUUUCAUUUAAAAUAAAUGAAGAAAUUCUGAGUUAUAUCUUUCUGUCAACUUUAUUUUUUAUUUUUUAAAAGCUCAAAAGUACAGAAAAAAAAAAAGAACCUAAACAAAGCCCGAAGUCCAACUAGCCCAAACAAUUAAAAAAACUUUAAAGAAGAACGUGACUGACUCGAACUCCACUUGUUAACAUUUGGGGUGACAGGAACACAUGUCCACCAUGCGAGUCACCACAGAACUUCAGCCAACAGAUCGACUCCAGCGAAGGUCUAAUCGACUGAUCCACCGGAAAUAAACCGGAACAGAAUCCCGUUCAAAGAACCUCGCCGGACACAAUAACAGUAAUUGGAAGCGCCACCAUUUACAACGCCUUAGACUUGAGCGUGAGACUUCUGAUCAAACAAGGGAAUUAAUCAGCUGAAGUCGAUUGAAUAAAUCCAUGAAAAUCGUUAACCUCACGAGAUAGAGCUAAAGCCAAAGGAUCUCUCGCUUCUUUGAUGAAGUUCCAAUCGAGAGAAGCAUCGAUCUCAAACCAACGAACAUCGAAUCGAUUGAAACAAAGGAAGCAUGAAGAAGUAGAAAUCAGACAAACCGGGAGAAACUCUGGAGAAACUCGGGAGAAAACCAUCGUCAACACCACAUGGAAAGGCGAGACGAAGAACCAAGAGCUGACGAAACAUCGAAGGAGCUGAUGUGCUUCGGAGCCAAAAACCGGCCGACCACCAUGAAGAAGAUGCGACGCCGGAAGGGAGGGCCAACAAUAAGCGGAGAGUCGUCGGAAUCACCGGCCUAGGUGUUUUCUCAUCACUUUUCCUCUGUGAAAAAUUGAAGAGAGAGAACAGAGGAAAAGGAGAGAAACAUAUGUUUUUAUUCUGUCAACUUUAUAUUUUGAGCUAUUAAUUAAAAUCGCGCAUCCCUUUUAUAUUAAAAGAGGAGCAUUCCUAUAAAUUAACCUUGCAGUCAUGUGUUAUUAACCAAAAUGUAAUUUCCUACAUGUCAUCACAAGAGCUCUUCUCACAUCCUUUAACUAAAAGUUCUUUUUUUACUAGAAUAAUUACAUGUAUUGCCAUUGUUAUAAACCUACCUUAUUACAAAUUUGUAAUCAUUAAUUGCAUCAACGAUUUUUUUAUCAUGGUUAUGUUUGUAUAUUAUGUUUGUAUAUUAAACUUAGAUAGAACAUGUUUACAAUGUCCAUAUAAGCCGCCUUGAUAUAAACUAAAUUAUGUAGUUAUAUAUUUUUAUAAAUAUAUACAAAAUAAUUAUAUUAUAUAGUUGAUAUAGUCGUACAAUAUAGCAAAAAAAAUAAUUAUAUAAUAGUUAUAUAAAUAUAUAU